GUGUAUUAACAGCCAAUCAAAAUGUAAAAGCUGUAAUAUUUUUUCCAUGGUGACAUUAUAAUUAAAAUAUAUCCGAUAAAAACAAGGCAAAAAAUCCCUAGUAUAUUUCUCCUUAACGCCCGUAUAUUUGUAAUUCCACUUAACGCCCGUUUUCUUCUUCUUCUUCUCUCUCUAACGAAUUGGAAGGAAAAUUGAAGAAACUUUUGGUGAUUCCUGGUUUCUCAUGCAGAAGAUACUUACUCUUUGAUUCAAAUGUCGGAGGAAAUUAUAUUCACAAAGGGGGCUACUUUUUUGAGAUUCCUGUCCCCACUUAUGUUGGUGAGAGUGAACGAGCAGGUAUGUAUAUGGACCUACACCUAUUAGACUUAAGGAAUGGAAACAAUCAGAUGUUUCCUAUUGCUUGGGCAGUAGUGGAUCAAGAAACAAAACAUAGCUGGAGUUGGUUCUUAGGAUAUUUGAUUGAUGACUUAAAUUUGGGCACGGGUGAAGGUUUACUGUAAUGUCAGAUAUGCAAAAGGGACUUGUUCCUGCCAUAAUGGAAUUAUUGCCAAAUGUAGAGCAAAGAAGGCAUAUCUGGAGUAACUGGCAUAUCAAAUGGAGAGGAGAAGCUAGAAGAAAGCAGUUCUAGAGAUGUUCAAAAGCUAGCUUUGAAGUCAAAUUUAAAGAGGAGUUGGAAGCAUUGAGUAAAUUAGGUAAGAAGGAAAUAUGUGAGGAUUUGUUGCAUUAUCCCAAGGAAAUAUAUGUAGAAAAUGUAUAAAGGAAUGGAGUUACAGGAAAGUGAAAUGGCUUCCAAGAUGAAGGCAAGCAAAAUAAGCACGCUCACAGCAAAAGAGAGCUCUUUAACUGGGCAGAGAUAUCAUCUAUUAAAAACUGCAAAAUUGACUUUAAGAUUAGCUAAAAGAUUUUUGGUA